ensembl:lncRNA
AGGUAGGAACUAUAGGGACUGUAGGUAGGUAGGGACUGUAGGGACUGUAGGUAGGUAGUGACUGUAGGUAGGUAGGAACUGUAGGGACUGUAGGUAGGUAGGGGCUGUAGGGACUGUAGGUAGGUAGGGACUGUAGGUAGGUAGUGACUGUAGGUAGGUAGGGACUGUAGGUAGAUAGUGACUGUAGGGACUGUAGGUAGAUAGUGACUGUAGCGACUGUAGGUAGGUAGUGACUGUAGGUAGGUAGGGACUGUAGGGAUUGUAGGUAGGUAGGGACUGUAGGUAGGUAGUGACUGUAGGGACUGUAGGGACUGUAGGUAGGUAGGGACUGCAGGGACUGUAGGUAGGUAGGGACUGUAGGGACUGUAGGUAGGUAGGUACUGUAGGUAGG